AUACGUGUGUGGACAUUUCUGAGGCAGAGACAGUGACAGGAAGCGAGGGAUGGUGUGUAUGUUCAGUUUGGGACACACUAGGAUUAAGACGCCUGUUACCGAAGUGGCCUGUCCAGGCGGCAGUUAGCUGUCUGAGUGUUGAGAGACGCUGGCAAGUAUACUUACAUCUUACUGUGAAUUUGAGGAAGGAAUUGGGGCUUAGGGUAGAAAUAAGGAGCUGAAUAAAUUUUGCCAACAUUCCCUAAUUGUCAUAGACUUUGUCACCCGGAUAUCUCUCUAGAUUCUAGAAAGUUUCCUCCGUGGGCAUCCACCAUUUGGGCCACUCAGAGGUAACCUGGAGGGUAGGUGAAGUGAGUGUAGAGAAAGACCUAGGGCCCCUGGGAACUGUUCGCAAUGCAUUUGGGUGCACAGGUUGUCAUGAGGGGAAUUCACUGUUAAAGCGACCAUGAGGAAAAAGAGCACUGUUCUCUGUCAUUCUCAGCAGCUUCAAGCGUUAGAAAGAAGAGAAGAAAGGAGCCAAUUGUUUUAGUGCCAUAAAGUGAGAGCCAGAAUGUCUUCUCAUAAUGUUUAUUUCAAGGAAGGUGUGUUAUUUUGGAAUUGGGGAUGUUUCUAAACUUUUCUCCUAAUUGAUUUUUAGCUGGCCAUUAGUAAAAAGAAAAAUGAUGAACAAAGUGAUAACAGGUGGAAGGUUGAUUCACCAAAGCAGGAUUGCUGCUGCAUAGAACGUUGAACACAGUACUGAAAAGAGCUCAACUCGGAAAGGUCAAUUUGCAAACAGCAUGUAGUUUUCAAGAUGGCAUCUCCAGUCUUAACCCAAGGGAUUGUGCUAGCUGGCAGGACGUGUGGGCAAGAGUCUUUGCUUGUUGGUCUUCUCAGUUGCAUCUUCCUAUGAAGCUAUCAGUAACACCAUUUUUUGGAGAUGAAGGCUGAAAUCUUAACAGACUUCAUUUCAAAUGACUCCUUGUGGACAAAGAGAAGAAAUUGACCUUGAGAAGUUUCACUUGCUGUGAUAGGAAGACGAUCUAGGCGUGCUUUGGGUGUGGCUAGAUUUCCUUUUACGGCUGCAGCCCCGUUUCUCAUCACCUGCCCCUCACAUUCUUUUCUCUGGCCUGUUCCACAGUGGGCAGGUCUAUGCAAACCUACUCACAAAGUCCGAGGAAGCCAACAGGCUGAAGAAAGAGGCUGAUGUAUCCAGUUUCUCAGAAAGAAACAUUUAAUAGGGACUUACGAACAGGAGCCCCGUCAGCAUCUCAGGUGGCGGUGAGACAGGAUGGGACCCUGGAUGAUGACACUGCUGCCAAGUCAAGUGUUGAGGUCCCACGAAAAGGAAACUGAGCAAUGGAGCAUCUUCCAUCAUCGAUGAAGCACUUCAGUCACUAUUCAUCACAACUCGUUGGCUAUAUGGAGCCUCUCGGUCCUACCUAUAAAAGAAGGGCUAAACAAUUUAAUUCUCCCUGUCUUCAAAAUGAGAAGACAAUAGUUAGGCAUGAGCUAGCUACCAUUAAUUACUGUUCCAUUGGGUACUAUAUACUCGCAGAUAUGGAUACAAAGGAUGGUUCCGGGUGGUGCAGGAAUCCAGCUGUCCUUCCUUCAGGACUCUGUUUCUCCAUCAUCACUGAAGGUUUACAAAUGAAUAGCUUCACGUACAAUUUCCCUUCUACAGAGGCAAAUGCAAUCCUGACAAUUAGUUAUUGACAGAGGACAAA
rnacentral:lncRNA from 10 species